rnacentral:rRNA from 1 species
AGUGAACGCUGGCGGUAGGCCUAACACAUGCAAGUCGAACGGCAGCACAGUAAGAGCUUGCUCUUACGGGUGGCGAGUGGCGGACGGGUGAGGAAUACAUCGGAAUCUACUUUUUCGUGGGAGAUAACGUAGGGAAACUUACGCUAAUACCGCAUACGACCUACGGGUGAAAGCAGGGGAUCUUCGGACCUUGCGCGAUUGAAUGAGCCGAUGUCGGAUUAGCUAGUUGGCGGGGUAAAGGCCCACCAAGGCGACGAUCCGUAGCUGGUCUGAGAGGAUGAUCAGCCACACUGGAACUGAGACACGGUCCAGACUCCUACGGGAGGCAGCAGUGUGGAAUAUUGGACAAUGGGCGCAAGCCUGAUCCAGCCAUACCGCGUGGGUGAAGAAGGCCUUCGGGUUGUAAAGCCCUUUUGUUGGGAAAGAAAAGCAGCAGGUUAAUACCCCGCUGUUCUGACGGUACCCAAAGAAUAAGCACCGGCUAACUUCGUG